CAUCCAGUCUGUGAUCAAGUUCAGCCAGAAAAAUGGAGCUUUAGAUGAAAACAGAAGUUGCUUACUGUGACAGGAAUAGCGAAUCACAGGCAAGAAUGAAACAGCUGACACAAAGGUGUGAGCUUUUGAGUUUAGAAAGUGAAGUUCUGGGGAGGUUUGGCAGGUGGGGAAACUCCAAAGUGCCAUGUAGCCCAAAGAAAGGGAGCUGUGCUGUCGGAUGUCUAUCAGUGGAGAGAUGUCAAGAAAAGCUGUUCCACUGGAGAGUCAUUGAAUUCAAGAUUCUUAGGACUAAAGAGCAGCUCUUUUAUAUCUGGGUGCUGGGUAAGAAACCCAAAGAGUCUCCCUACCCCUAUUUUGAUCCUAACUCCUUUUAAGAAAAGCAUUUAGAGGAAUCUGCCUGAAUAAAUCAAAUAGACUCCCAUGGCCUCAGAAAGCAAAUACAAUCAGCAUAUCGAGGAAUUUCUCAAUAUCUCCUUUUCCCUUUAUUCUUCUCUUUUUUCUCUCUUCUCCCUUUCUCCUCCUCCUUCUUUUUCUUUUUCCUUUCUCCCUCUCUCCCCUCCAUGUUCCCCUUCAAAAACAUUUGCUAGCCUCUUGCUCGAGCAUCCUUUUGUUAUACAGGGACUCAACCCCUCUGACAGGUGGGGUUGGAGACCUGAGCAAGGACUGUCCUAGGAGGACACUGCCUGUCUUGUGAAUCUUUCUGUCUUUAGAUGCACUAAAAAUGACAUCUAUGCUACUUUUCAAUCUACAGGCUCAUUUUUAGACAUAGAUUUCAACAUUUCUUUCCCUCUCUAAUAGAGUCAAACUAAUAGACUCAUGUCGUUUGUCAUCAAGGAAGAGAGAACAUUUACGUUUUCUAAAAGUAUAACUUACUAAUGACCCGGGGUGGCUUUUAAAGAUAGAAGUGCUAUUGGGGCCCUGUUGCGUCAAAGGAGCAUUCAAGACCCCUGUCCUGGCCGGCUGUGAAAUGUGUGAUCGAUUUCUGAAAAACCUAUACAAAAAGAAGUUAAAAGAGACCAUGUAAGAAGUAAAAGAAAUAAAUUGAACACACAUGUGCGAUCGUUAUUCAUAUGAGCAUUCUCUGUAUUACUUCAUAACACAGCUGUAUACACAAAAAAAACAGUCCCCUUUGCUUCUUCCUAUUGGAGUCUUAUUAAUUUCUGUCUAAUGAAACGCAAAUGUUUCUAUGCUUCAUUUUGGGGAGCACGGUCUAGUCGGGUGUUUGUUAAGCACUGGCCAGAGCUGCUGUGCCCAUCUAAUACAAACGUCUGUAGGCCUUUCAGAGUCCCUUGACAGAGCAUCUUUUGAGCAUGCCAGUUGUCAUGGUCACCAGUGUGCUGAUUUGCAAGGAAAAUUGGAAGCUAUGCUCAUUACGUCAAAAACUACAUUGGGGGAUAAAGGGAGCAUGUCUGCUUCAAGAGUUGGCAAUUGGGGUUUGUUAGUCUCUCCGCCCACACACUUCCAUCAAACAAUGUCUCAUUCAACUGCAUAAGUCAAAGUUUACAACUCCCCUCUUUCCAGCUGGAACAGGCCUGGGAAGUGUGAACGAAAAUCAUGGCUCACAGAAUCACAGAACAGGCUUGCAGGCCGAGCUGUUCCGAUAGUGCUUGGAGUGUCUUCUCAGCCCACAAGAAGGGUUUCAGUCUCUGCUGAUGGUUGGCAAACUUGAGCCUCUGUGUCACCUGCUUCUAAAGUUUACUGGCCCCAGGUCCGUACAGACCAGUGACCGAGUUGAUCUCCCGCCCACCUCAUCAGUGUUUGCAGCUGCUCCAUCUCUGUGCCUUGGGCUUGGGAGUUUGUCUUCAGGCAUCACCACGAAAGUGGGCUAUACGACUCCAGAUGUUGAGAGAAACGUUUACUGUUACAUUAUUAUGGUUUGAGGUGGUCAUGUGUACUUCUGUAGCUUUUAUCCUUUUCCUAUUUGUGCAUCAUUAAAAUGGAACGUUACAAGGGAAUCAACAGAGGGAAGCCUAAAUAGUGCAGGAAAAAUUGUGUGAACGCCUUUGGGAAUAAAACUCUUCAUUCAUUUUCAAGCUCUUUUAGGAACAUUAACUUGCUGAGUGCACCUCCACUUUCCCAUCGGGACUAAAGAAACGAAGCAGAAAUCAAUGAAAUGAGUCAAAUAUAGUUCCAUAUCACACUAUCUCUAGAAUUUAGAACACAUCCAAAUUUACAUAAGACAUGUGGUAUAAUUAUAACUUCGUCCUGUGUCUCAAAGGAGAAGGGCAGGCCACCUGGCCUGAGAAAUCAGAGAAGGCUUUGUUGAGAAAGCGAUCUUUUAUCCUUGCCCUGAAAAGUAAAUAGGAUUGGUCUAGGUGAAGGUGGAAGUGGGAAGAGAGGAGGAAAUAAGGGGUAAGCAUUCAGGAAGAAGGCAUUGCCUAGGUAACGCCACAAAGUAGGAAGGGACAUGAUGAAGGGAACAGAAAGCAGGCCAGAGUAGCGUGCGUGAGGUGUGUGUGUAUGCGUGUGUGUGUGUGUGUGUGUGUGUGUGUGUGUGUGAACACAUGUUAUUUUUGGAGGACUGACUACUAGGAAAUGCCCAAGAGCCCAAGAUGAGGCUAGAGAAGUAGAAAGGGCCCAGAUCAUGCCCACAUGAUCCUAUCUUAAGAGCAGGCCAUGUUAAGGAUUUUGGGUUUGAGCUUAUGGACCACACCAAAUGGGUUUAAGCAGAGAGCAAACUGUACCUCAGACACUGCAUCUAAGAAGUGUUCCCAUUUCCCUUCCGCAUGUUAUUUGAAAACCUUUAAUAUCAUCUUGUAUUAAAAACAUUUAAGUAUGGAUCUGUCUCCACUAUACUAUGAUCCCCUUGUAGGCCAGAAUUAGGACUUUUUCAUCUUUGUAUCAUUUGCAGCAUGGCUAGCAGGAUAAUGUAGGAAGAAUUUAUUGGCAUGGAAGGAGCUUUGGAAUCAGGCAGAUCUGGCUUUGAUUCCAGUCACUGUGUUUUUCCAACUGUACAACACUAACCAUGUACCCAGGGCAGUGCAGUAGGAGAGCCCACCCUGGGUGCAGGCAGUAAGGGUGUGCAUUGCUGUUGAGAAUUUAAAAACAAUAAUAAACCAAACUGAAAGUCAAUCUGCUUUUUAUUAUCACCAUGUGCUGGCAAUUCUAAACAAUGUCAGCGAUAAAACACUCCUCCCUAAAAGAAUCCUUUGUGGGCCUAGGUUCUGAAUAAUUGUCAUGGUGACCACUGAGGUUUUUUCCAUUUUAUUAUAAAAAUGUCAGAUAGAUAGAAAGGUUGAAAUGAUUUUAUAGUGAAAAUUCAUCAUGUAGAUUUUAAAAUUUAACAAGUUACAUUGCUUCACAUAAAUCUAUAUGUAGCCAUCUGUCAACCCUUCUAUUUAUCUAUCAGUCAAUUUUUGGACACAUUUCAGAGUAAGAUGCAUUCCUGAGUGGACUGCCCCCUAAAUAUUUUAGUACGAGCAUCAUAAACUAAUGUUAUCACUUAGUUGAAGGAGCUUGGUAUUUGUUUAAGGCUAUUAUUUUUCUUUUGAGAUAAAAUUUGCAUAGCAUGAAACACAAAUUCUAAGGGCACCGUUUCUUUUUCUUUCUUUCUUUUUUUCUG